GGGGAGGGGCUCCCAAGUUGCCGCUACGUCUUCCCUGCGCUUUAUCAGUACUGUAGUACGAGACUUCUUUUUUUUUUCUUUUGGUGGAGGGGAAAGGUUUAUUUAUUCAAGAGCCAGAGUUGAGUAAUGCUAGAUGACGGGGCUUGCAGAGGUCGGCUACUGCUGUAGUAUUAUAUUAGCGAAUAGAGUAAAAGUAAAGUACUAAUAGAAAAAAAAGUACAGUACACUCAAUAUUCGAGGUAAAUACUGAUGUUGACAAUCAUCACAAUCUAUUCGCCGACAUAAAGCAAAUAGACACUUGCACCGCGCCCGAGCAGUUCAACUUUUCUAUCUCUGUGAUUUCGGUAGUUCCAGAGUGCACAGUCGAAUAUUGUGUGUUGUGCUUCUCGUUUUCAACAACAAGAAUUGUGGAUUUUUUCAUUCUCGAGCUAAAUUAAAUUUGUGUAAAUGAUUGGCAACAUGUAACUCUUGAAUUUGUGAGAAAGUCCUUCUUUUGAACCGCCAUUUAAUCAGUACUACCUGUUUCACCUGAAACUUACAGGAUGCCGUCGGCUCCAGCUCAUAAUUAUGAGGCAGAUAGCAUUUCAAAAAUCUCAUGAAUCGUUAGGUCGUCGUAGUGUUUUGUAUGACUAUAAAUUUACGUAAGCUGAAAUUCAACAUCCUCGAUGACUUGAUUUUGUGCGCCAGAUCCCAUACUACGCCAAAUCAUCUCACCUGCAUUCCAGCAAGUGAAAAGCUUUGUUCUUGAGCUUUGUUCUUGAUGCUUUGACCAGUUUCGACAUGAACGGCAGACUGGUUAAGACAAGAGUUUCACGAUCCUGCUCGUUCCUGCGUUGGGUAAACUUGUUAUGCAAAAAUGAUCCACCAGGGUCGUUUCCAAUCGCCUAUGACCCUGUCUGAGAGAACCUUGAAAUCGAAAUUCCCCGCAUUGCUGGGAACAGACCAAUAUCAAAGACUGCUAUUUACCUGUCAACAGUUUCAUUCUAUACUGAACAGAUGCAUGCAUGUGCGUGAAUAAAUAUUCGGGUAAAGAUUAAA